UCACGAAUUGCCAAUUUGCCAUCCCUUAGAAGUUAGAACAGGAGUGAGCUGUAAUGGAGGUUGCUUGUACUUGCUUAGGUUCAGCACGUCUAUGGCAGACGAAUAUGGAAAGCGUGGGGGAUUUCCGGUUCGGAGCCUGUACUGCUACUUUGCCUCCAUUGUCGUCGUUAUCCUGCGCAUCAAGGAAAAGGAAAACUUUCAUUUUCACAGCAAGAGCUAAUCCAUACGCUGAGCAGAGUGAUCCCGUUUUCCGAGCCGCCGUCGAACGCGCUGCUAUCCGUUUCCAGGAGUCUCAACGUUCAGAUCCUUUGUUCAUUGAUCCAUAUGCUGGCUGCUUUUUUCUAUCUGAGACUGAAGUGUAUAGGGAAGAGCAUCUGCAUCCCUACUGCCUUGCAACUAAGUAUAUUGAUGAUAAGUUGUUGAGCACAUUAGAAAAAGUUGAUGGGCCGAAGCAGGUUGUUUUGUUAACAGAUGGCAUGGAUACUCGGCCAUUUAGACUCAAUUGGCCAGCAUCAACUAUAAUAUAUGAUGUAUCGCCCGAGGAAGUAUUUAGAAGAGGAGCUGAGAAGCUUCAAGAAGUUGGGGCUAAGAUACCAAGAGCAUGUGUAUUUCAUCAUGUCCCAUUGAAUUCAUCUAAUCUACAACAGAUGAUGGGCAGUAAAGGAUUUAAUGGUGCCAGACCAAGUAUUUGGGCUUUUCAGGGACUGCCGGUCAUGAACUUGGCGAGCUUUAAAGAUAUUUUGUGCCUUGUCAGUAAUCUGGCCAUGAAGGGAUGCUUUUUCUUGGGGGAACUGCCUAUUUGGCUGGCUGAAACUGAUGCCAGGUGUAAGUCAACUACAAAUAGAUGGUUGGAAAGCCUUUUCAUGAGCUGUGGUUUCCGCGUGGAAAUAAUUGGGUAUAAUGACAUCGCAAGAAACCUUGACAAUGAACUGGUAACAGAAGAGUACACCAACAUACUUUUUGUUGCAGAGCAUCUGAGAUUUUCUGAUGAUCAGAUGGAACUAUGGAGGAGAGAAUUUCAGAGGAUAGAGGAAGAAGGAGACGAAGAAGGCUUUGAGGAGCUCUAGAGUUUAUCAUUCUGUUUGGUCGUGCAUCUGCAAUGCACAUCCGUCCAGUAUGAAUUUUGAACAAACAACAACAACAACAACAAAGAGGUGGAGCCGAAAUGCCCUAUUUGUAUGGAUGAGGUGGAAUCAAUAUAUAUCACAUGUUUUUGGGACCUGCAUUUACGCAAAGCCUGUGGAUAACAGCCAGACUUCCUGUUCUACAGCAUCAAACUUCCAUGAGUGAGUGGCAUAUAUAACACCUCUCUAAAUGUAGCCUAUAGCAUCACUCAAGAAAAUAUAAUUACUAACUGGAUACUACCAACAAUCUGAGGUGCAGGAGGGUAUAUAUACUACCAGAUCGAAUGUCAUUGUGUGGGGAAGGGGAUGAAGAGAUCAGAUAGCUCAUACAUUUUUGACAUGCCCAUUUGCUUUGCAUGUUUGGAAUAUCUCACAACUUUCUGUUCCUAGUUUUGGGAUCGAAGCUGGUAGGAAAGAACAUACUUCUUGCGUUCUCCUUCCUUCUCGGUGCUGAGAAGCUAAGCUUGCAUGUGAUGAAGAGGAGGGCACGUACCAUCCCAGUGUCAAUCUCCACGGUUAAGGUUCUUUCCUCAAACGCCACGACUGAAGUCAAUUUGACGUUCAUAGCUUUUUAGAAGGGCCAACUAAUAUGAAAAAUUUCUUCCAUGUUAGGUAUAAUUAGUUGGCCUUUCUAAAAAGCCUGAGUAUCAAAAUGAGAGGGGAUGGCAAGAAGCACGUGCAUUAGAGCGGGAUGAAAACCCUCACAGCUCAAGACACAAAAUGAGAAGAAGAAAUGACACCUAGAAUAUCUCUAAUUUUUCCUUUCUUUCUGGUUGGUUACGUUGUUUGUAAGAUGAAGAUGAAGAUGAAUUUGUUGAGCCUUUAUAUAGGCAAAAAUUAGGUAGAUGCACCAUACAAGAAGCAUGAUGCUAAAUGUAUUCGUGUGAUUAUUCUUUGCAUUCAGAUAUCACAGGGGUUGUUUGAGAGCUUUAA